rnacentral:rRNA from 1 species
CUGCAGCUCAAGUGGUGACCACUAUUAUUGGGCCUAAAACGUUCGUAGCCGGUUUAGUAAAUGCCUGGGUAAAUCGUGUAGCUUAACUAUACGAAUUCCGGGUAGACUGCCAAACUUGAGACCGGGAGAAGCUAGAGGUACUCCUGGGGUAGAGGUGAAAUUCUGUAAUCCUGGGGGGACCACCAGUGGCGAAGGCGUCUAGCUAGAACGGGUCUGACGGUGAGGAACGAAGCCCUGGGGCGCAAACCGGAUUAGAGACCCGGGUAGUCC